rnacentral:lncRNA from 1 species
UGUGGCCCCAGCGUGCUGUGGCCUCCGGGAGUGGGAAGUGGAGGCAGGAGCCUUCCUUACACUUCGCCAUGAGUUUCCUGAUCGACUCCAGCAUCAUGAUUACCUCCCAGAUACUAUUUUUUGGAUUUGGGUGGCUUUUCUUCAUGCGCCAAUUGUUUAAAGACUAUGAGGACGGGAGGCCAAGGGGCUGGGAUGGCAGGUGCCGUGAACAGCGAGCGCCCAGAGUUGGCCAAAAGCACAGCGGAGGUGCAAAUCCAGCUGUGACCUGCAUUGUCUCCACUAACGACAGCGUCCUUAACCCGGACAGUGACCCAGCAAGUGGCAGCCCACGCUCGCCGGCCGGGUCCAAGUUUUAAGUAAAGAAGCCAUUUGUUCCCAGGCUCAUUUUUAUCAAGGCUCGUCUGUCUUUCCAAAUUAGGGCUGAGUCAUUUAUAAAGCAUGUGAGUGUUUGGAUGUUAGCAGCAAACAUUCAUCCAUUUUAGAAUAAAUGAUUAAAAGGCACUCAUUAAAUUCCUCUGUUGACUGAUGCCAAGGCCCCGAGAACGGAUUGGCCUGUUGGCUUCUGGCUGGCCUGACUGCCAUCCCACCUACUGAGAACUCUCGUAGACUCUGGAGAGAAAAUUCCUGCUCGAGGGGACACCCUGAUGGAAGAUAACAGGAAGGAUGGCACUCAGGCCUGUUCCCCCAAUAUUACAGCACAGUUAUCUACCUUCAGAGUGGCCGCACCCAACAGACUCUUGGUGAGUGGGAGGACAACCCCUUCUCCCCUCCAAAGAUCUAGGGACAAUGUGUGCCAUUCCUUCCCAUGGGCAUGGGGAAUGUUUAACUCAAAAGUCAAGGGAAUAAUUCCAUAAUGACUGAAAACUAAGUAUUUCCAGUCCUGAUAAGAAUGGCGCUCUGUGCCCACUCCAGGAAUACAAGAAUUGGCAAGACUCUCCUGUGGCCCCUGCCCUGGAAGGUAGAAGGUAAAAGAUCAUACACAGACAGGUAAACCAACUCCCGAACAGAACUGGGAGCCUCGGACCACAGGCUCUGACCCUUUGCUGGCCAGCAGGUGCAGAGGGAAGGAGCUUCUGCUGUCCUUGCCCCCAGCAAAUGUCCAUCCUCACCACAAGGGAACAAACCAUGCCCAAUGCCUCGUUGGGGGCACUGGCGCCCCUUGAAUGUAUCCUCUCUAGGAUCCUUGGCCCCACCCACCUGUUUGCCAUCUCCAAAGGUCCUUUCUUAAUGUCUUUAAUUUGGAUGGCUCUGACAGCUCCCCACGGCUGGCCUGAGAAAAUCGCACACUCCUCUGCAUGCCAUUUAUCAGGUCACAGCGUGAGUUUCCCGGGCCCUCCUUCCACUAAAAAAACAUUAAAACAUAUAUAUUACAAUGGCAUUGGUAAACAGGAACCUAUUGAUUUAUAUACUGAAAACAUUUUUCCUCAACCUAAAAGUUCAUGUAUUUCGUUUUGAUUUUAAAAGCAAUUAAAACAUUUCGUGAGUCCUGAAAUCACUGUGGGCCCGAGGCACUGAGCCACCAUACCCGAUACUGAAGGGGGUCUAGGUCAGUCCUCUCUGCAGCCGUCCAGCCGCAGGUUCCCCCUGGGAGCUGCCCUUCCAGGCCUCCCUGCCUGUGCUGCUGCUGCUGCUGCUGCUGCUGCUCCUGCUCCUGCUCCUGCUCCUGCUCCUGCACCCUCAAUGCUGCCUCAUCCUUCUCUGCCACGAAACGUCCUACAAAGGUGUUAAGCCCUGGACCUAGUGUGAUGCUCCCAGGCCCUGGAGGCAGCAUCUGUGCAUCUUCUUUGCCCUCUGCCACCACUCUGACCCCCUGCAAGCCCAGACAGACAACGGUGUCUUCCUGACCAGGUGACAGGAUCCUGCAUUCAUCCC